rnacentral:ncRNA from 1 species
AUAAAAUAUAAUUUAAGUUUAUGUAUUAGUUAUAUAAUUUAAUUUAUAUAUAAAUUUUUAUAAAAUUAUUUAUAAUUAAAAAAUAUAAUUAAUAUAUAAUUAUUUAUAUAAAUUAAUAUUUAUAAUUAAAAUUUUAAUUAAGGUUAAUAUUAGAAAUUUAUAAAAAAUUUAAAUUAAAUUAGUGCCAGCAAUUGCGGUUAAACUAUUUAAAUAAAUUAAUAAAUAAAAUAAGUAAAUUUAAAUUAGAAUUUAUUGAUAAUUAAAAAUUAAUUUUUAAUAUUGUGAAAUAAAUAUAAAAUUUAUUUAUAAAUUAUCUAUAAGUAAUUUAUUAUUAUAUAAAUUAAGUUUAUAAACUAGGAUUAGAGACCCUAUUAUUUAUAUGAAAAUUAAAAUUAUUUGAAUAAUAAAUGUAAAAUCAUUAAAAUUAUUAAAUUUGGCGGUUUUUUAAUCUAUUUAGAGGAACUUAUAAUAUAAUUGAUAAUCCACGAUAAGAUUUACUUUAAUUUAAUUUAUGUAUUGUUGUUUAUAGAUUUUAUUUAAUAUUUAUUAAAAUUUAAAUAUUUUAUAAUUUUAAAUAUAAAAUAAAAAUUCAAAUCAAAAUGUAGUAUAUUAAAGAUUUAUAUGAGUUACAAAUAAUUAUAUUUAAGGAUAAAUUUUUUUAAUAAUUUAUAAAAAAAGGAUUUAAUAGUAAAUUUUUAAAAUUAUGAUAAUUGAAAUUAGUUUUAGAAGAUGUACAAAUUGCCCGUCAAUUUCAUUAUAAGUGAAAUAAGUCGUAACAAAGUAAGAAUACUGGAAAGUGUUCUUGGAAUU